rnacentral:lncRNA from 1 species
GCGAGAAAUAAAUUCGGUAAUUUCGUGUGUAGCCUCGCAGCUGAAUAGCGUAGCUAUCUAGAAAAACAGGCACUUAGAAUUCAACGAUAAAGUUUGUUUUAAAUAUCAGGGACGGCAUUUAAUGCUUAUGUCACCUUAAUAAUGUCGUAGUUUUUGUGCUGUUAAUGGAGUGAGUGGGAAGCUAUCUCCUAAUUCGCCAAGAGAGGCUACAGAAAAACACACCUGUCAGAGAUCUCCGUCACUGAAGGAGACCAGAGGCCUAACCUGAGAGAUCUGGGCAAAAGUAAGUUUCAGGCAAAGAUAGAUAGGAUGAACAUACUUUAUUUUACAGUGCAAC